rnacentral:rRNA from 1 species
UUUAUUGGAGAGUUUGAUCCUGGCUCAGGACGAACGCUGGCGGCGUGCCUAAUACAUGCAAGUCGAGCGGACCUUUUAAAAGCUUGCUUUUGAAAGGUCAGCGGCGGACGGGUGAGUAACACGUGGGCAACCUGCCUGUAAGACUGGGAUAACUUCGGGAAACCGGAGCUAAUACCGGAUAAUAUAAGGAACCUCCUGGUUCUUUAUUGAAAGAUGGUUUCGGCU